AUUGUUCACACCAUGGAUGAGAUCUCCAACACUGUUUGCUCGGUCAUUGAUUCGGCGGAGCUGUGCAGGGACACGCACUCAGAUAGGGAGUUUAUGGAGGAAGCAGAUAAGGCAUCAAUGAUGAAUUAUGAGCAUCUUCAAGUAAGGUCUAUAACAUAAAUGGCAUCUGUGAAAAGGGAGAGAGCAGAGUGAAAUGACCAAACCAGAACGGUAACAUUCAUUUUCUGUGAUUUUCUGCAGUACCUGAACACAUAUACUACUUUAUAAAACGCGGUACUAAACGCUGAGAGUGAAGGUGCCCUGCCUACCAGAGGAAUAUGGGAAGGCAGCAAAUAACUUGCGUAUCGACUUUGAGAAAGGAGGGAUUCAUCUUCGUAACAGUUGCCAUAGUGAUAGUUAUAUUCUGUUGUGAUUGUUAGCUUUGAAUUUGAAUUAGAAAGAUAAUGCUCUACCAUUGCAGAUAAACUCAAGCAUCUUAAUCAGCUGAACCUUGCAAUUGCGCAUCUGGGCAGAAAGUAGGUAUUGGGCAGGCCGUUGCGAAGCUUAGUACUAUUUUCACUGUCGAACUUGCAUAUAUUGAAGUCAGUUGUAGUUCCAGUUUGGAAUUUAGUACCA